UACAGGGGGUGCAACCGUUGCUCGGAAUCAUUGGGCGUAAAGCGCACGUAGGCGGUUCGUUAUGUCGGAUGUGAAAGCCCUUGGCUUAACCGAGGAAGUGCAUCCGAAACUGGCGAGCUAGAGUACUAAAGAGGAUCGCGGAAUUCCCGGUGUAGAGGUGAAAUUCGUAGAUAUCGGGAGGAACACCGGCGGCGAAGGCGGCGAUCUGGGUAGAUACUGACGCUGAGGUGCGAAAGCGUGGGGAGCAAACAGG
rnacentral:rRNA from 1 species